CGCCAGACUCCUACGGGAGGCAGCAGUGGGGAAUAUUGCGCAAUGGGCGAAAGCCUGACACAGCGACGCCGCGUGGGUGAAGGAGCGUUUCGGCGCGUAAAGCCCUAUCGGCAGGGAAGAAGGAGGACGGUACCUGACUAAGAAGCCCCGGCUAACUACGUGCCAGCAGCCGCGGGAAUACGUAGGGGGCAAGCGUUAUCCGGAUUUACUGGGUGUAAAGGGGGCGCAGACGGCAGCGCAAGCCAGGAGUGAAAGCCCGGGGCCCAACCCCGGGACUGCUCUUGGAACUGCGCGGCUGGAGUGCAGGAGGGGCAGGCGGAAUUCCUGGUGUAGCGGUGAAAUGCGUAGAUAUCAGGAGGAACACCAGUGGCGAAGGCGGCUUACUGGACGGCAACUGACGCUGAGGCUCGAAAGCGUGGGGAGCAAGCAGGAUUAGAUACCCCAGUACG
rnacentral:rRNA from 1 species